AUGAUUUUCUCUAUCAAAGGAUGGGUGAUGAAUUGUCUUGGAAGACUCCAGAGAACUACUUCUGCUGCUGCUGCUGCUAAGUUGCUUCAGUUGUGUCCUACUCUGUGCGACCCCAUUAGACAGCAGCCCACCAGGCUCCACCGUCCCUGGGAUUCUCCAGGCAAGAACACUGGAGUGGGUUGCCAUUUCCUUCUCCAAUGCAGGAAAGUGAAAAGUGAAAGUGAAGUCGCUCAGUCAUGUCUGACUCUUUGCGACCCCAUGGACUGCAGCCCACCAGGCUCCUCUGCCCAUGUGAUUUCCCAGGUAAGAGUGCUGGAGUGGGGUGCCAUAGCCUUCUCCACCAGAGAACCAUCAGUCAUUCUAAAAGCUCAUUCCUAAGUGAUAGUAGCUUGGAUGAGGAGAAUAUUUUAGCUACCUAAGUGAACAAUAAUCAUAAUCUUAAUUGAAAAUAAAAUAUUUCAUAGGGAAAAUAAAUUUAGAGGAAAGAAACUUACUCUUGAUUUUAUAGAUAUUAUUUUUUGAUGUUUCAAAAGGUCUAUUUUUAUAAUGACAAUUAUAAAUCAUUUAUUUCACUACAAAGAUACUAAUAUUUUG
rnacentral:lncRNA from 1 species